AAAUUGAAGAGUUUGAUCAUGGCUCAGAUUGAACGCUGGCGGCAGGCCUAACACAUGCAAGUCGAACGGUAACAGGAAGAAGCUUGCUUCUUUGCUGACGAGUGGCGGACGGGUGAGUAAUGUCUGGGAAACUGCCUGAUGGAGGGGGAUAACUACUGGAAACGGUAGCUAAUACCGCAUAACGUCGCAAGACCAAAGAGGGGGACCUUCGGGCCUCUUGCCAUCGGAUGUGCCCAGAUGGGAUUAGCUUGUUGGUGGGGUAACGGCUCACCAAGGCGACGAUCCCUAGCUGGUCUGAGAGGAUGACCAGCCACACUGGAACUGAGACACGGUCCAGACUCCUACGGGAGGCAGCAGUGGGGAAUAUUGCACAAUGGGCGCAAGCCUGAUGCAGCCAUGCCGCGUGUAUGAAGAAGGCCUUCGGGUUGUAAAGUACUUUCAGCGGGGAGGAAGGGAGUAAAGUUAAUACCUUUGCUCAUUGACGUUACCCGCAGAAGAAGCACCGGCUAACUCCGUGCCAGCAGCCGCGGUAAUACGGAGGGUGCAAGCGUUAAUCGGAAUUACUGGGCGUAAAGCGCACGCAGGCGGUUUGUUAAGUCAGAUGUGAAAUCCCCGGGCUCAACCUGGGAACUGCAUCUGAUACUGGCAAGCUUGAGUCUCGGAGGGGGGUAGAAUUCCAGGUGUAGCGGUGAAAUGCGUAGAGAUCUGGAGGAAUACCGGUGGCGAAGGCGGCCCCCUGGACGAAGACUGACGCUCAGGUGCGAAAGCGUGGGGAGCAAACAGGAUUAGAUACCCUGGUAGUCCACGCCGUAAACGAUGUCGACUUGGAGGUUGUGCCCUUGAGGCGUGGCUUCCGGAGCUAACGCGUUAAGUCGACCGCCUGGGGAGUACGGCCGCAAGGUUAAAACUCAAAUGAAUUGACGGGGGCCCGCACAAGCGGUGGAGCAUGUGGUUUAAUUCGAUGCAACGCGAAGAACCUUACCUGGUCUUGACAUCCACGGAAGUUUUCAGAGAUGAGAAUGUGCCUUCGGGAACCGUGAGACAGGUGCUGCAUGGCUGUCGUCAGCUCGUGUUGUGAAAUGUUGGGUUAAGUCCCGCAACGAGCGCAACCCUUAUCCUUUGUUGCCAGCGGUCCGGCCGGGAACUCAAAGGAGACUGCCAGUGAUAAACUGGAGGAAGGUGGGGAUGACGUCAAGUCAUCAUGGCCCUUACGACCAGGGCUACACACGUGCUACAAUGGCGCAUACAAAGAGAAGCGACCUCGCGAGAGCAAGCGGACCUCAUAAAGUGCGUCGUAGUCCGGAUUGGAGUCUGCAACUCGACUCCAUGAAGUCGGAAUCGCUAGUAAUCGUGGAUCAGAAUGCCACGGUGAAUACGUUCCCGGGCCUUGUACACACCGCCCGUCACACCAUGGGAGUGGGUUGCAAAAGAAGUAGGUAGCUUAACCUUCGGGAGGGCGCUUACCACUUUGUGAUUCAUGACUGGGGUGAAGUCGUAACAAGGUAACCGUAGGGGAACCUGCGGUUGGAUCACCUCCUUA
rnacentral:rRNA from 1 species